AUUAACAAAAGUGCAGAUCCCGUCCCACUCUUCACUUUUUGACAAAAAACUUCUGAAUAGCAAUCUUGGUGAGUGGUCUCGACCGGGUUCGAUCGGCAUGGCGUGUCGUUCCUCCAGGAGUGGGUGCUGAGAGGAAGGAUGGCAAACCUCCAUUGUCAAUCGGCCGGAGCUUUGGAUCAGAGCAUGGACGAAAUCGAGAUGGUAGAGGUUGAGGAAUUUGUAGGACGUGAGGGUUUAGGGUGGGCAUCACAAGAACUCGCCCAUAUCUUGGGAGACGGCAGACCUGAGGUGCAGUCGUGUUCGUGCUUCAGGGGCUGCCACGUGCUGUCCUCGCCGCCAUCGCCUGUCGAUGCCACUUCAGCGCCACGAGCAUGGGACUGAGGGACGAAGGGAAGAGAAGGGAAGGAAGCGAGCUAAUGACGUACCUAUGUUUGGUAUGUAAUACCCUCCAUUAAGAGUAGAUAUUUUCUUAAAAUCGGUUAUUUUGUUUCCUAAUCAAUGUGAUUGAGAAAUUUAAGGUAAGGUUAAUUAAUUUAGAUUUGAUAUUUAGAGAUUGAUCAUGAUUGAUUCUUUCACAUAAAGGCAUUACUAAAAAUAACUUGCACCAACAUGGAAAGUUAUGAUCCGUUAAGAUUUUUUUCGUUGUGUGAGAGGGUGACGCGAAACUAAACCGGUGGGGUGGGGGAGGGACGAAAAAAAACCAGGGAAAUAAAACGGGUGGGAGGUGGGAGGAAGUACCAAAGAAGUACCAAAAAAGACCGGGUGAGGUGGGACGAAAAUAAAACCCGGAACGCAACCUACCAACUAAGACAUUAGGAGUAGAGAUAUGAGAGGGUGACGCGAAACUAAACCGGUGGGGUGGGGGAGGGACGAAAAAAAACCAGCGAAACAAAACGGGUGGGAGGUGGGAGGAAGUACCAAAGAAGUACCAAAAAAGACCUACCAACUGAGACAUUAGGAGUAGAGAUAUUAACAAAAGUGCAGAUCCCGUCCCACUCUUCACUUUUUGACAAAAAACUUCCGAAUAGCAAUCUUGGUGAGUGAUCUCGACCGGGUUCGAUCGACAUGGCGUGUCGUUCCUCCAGGAGUGGGUGCUGAGAGGAAGGAUGGCAAACCUCCAUUGUUAAUCGGCCGGAGCUGCAUCGUCAUUUGGAUCAGAGCAUGGACGAAAUCGAGAUGGUAGAGGUUGAGGAAUUUGUAGGACGUGAGGGUUUAGGGUGGGCAUCACAAGAACUCACCCAUAUCUUGGGAGACGGCAGACCCGAGGUGCAGUCGUGUUCGUGCUUCAGGGGCUGCCAUGUGCUGUCCUCGCCGCCAUCGCCUGUCGAUGCCACUUCAGCCCCACGAGCAUGGGACUGAGGGACGAAGGGAAGAGAAGGGAAGGAAGCGAG
rnacentral:lncRNA from 1 species